rnacentral:tRNA from 1 species
ACCCACGUGGUGAAAUUGGUAAACACACCACUUUGAGGGAGUGGUAUCCUCUAAUAAUGGAUAUGCUGGUUCGAGUCCAGUCGUGGGUACAA